rnacentral:rRNA from 1 species
GGCAGGGAUAAACGCUGAAAGCAUCUAAGCGUGAAGCCCCCCUCAAGAUGAGAUUUCCCAUUUCUUCGGAAAGUAAGAUCCCUGAAAGAUGAUCAGGUAGAUAGGUUUGGAGUGGAAGUGUAGCGAUGCAUGGAGCGGACAAAUACUAAUCGAUCGAGGACUUAACCAAAAA